rnacentral:rRNA from 1 species
GAUGAACGCUAGCGGGAGGCUUAACACAUGCAAGUCGAGGGGCAGCACGAGGUAGCAAUACUUUGGUGGCGACCGGCGCACGGGUGAGUAACGCGUAUGUAACCUACCUUGUACAGGGGGAUAGCCCGGAGAAAUUCGGAUUAAUACCCCAUAAUGAUAUUUAGAGGCAUCUCUGAAUAUUUAAAGUUUCGACGGUACAGGAUGGGCAUGCGUGACAUUAGCUAGUUGGUAAGGUAACGGCUUACCAAGGCUGCGAUGUCUAGGGGUCCUGAGAGGGUGAUCCCCCACACUGGUACUGAGACACGGACCAGACUCCUACGGGAGGCAGCAGUGAGGAAUAUUGGUCAAUGGGCGCAAGCCUGAACCAGCCAUCCCGCGUGAAGGAAGAAGGCGCUAUGCGUUGUAAACUUCUUUUCCGGAGGAAUAAAAUUUCGUACGUGUACGGGACUGAAGGUACUCCGGGAAUAAGCAUCGGCUAACUCCGUGCCAGCAGCCGCGGUAAAAC